GUGUUGUGUUAAAUAGUGCCUGACUAAGAAUGAAAGAGAGAGAGAGGGGUGUGAACGCGAUUUUUCAAAACGAGUUUUUUUGUUCAAUUAACUUAUGUUUUUGUUGUGUUUUGAACGGAGUCCAGACCACACCAUUUCGUUCCAAGUGCAAUGAAGUUUGAUGUCAAUAAUAAUCGAUGCACAGUAUGCCUAUUUUUGAUGUGGCAAAGUCAGUCCUUUACGAGCAUGCGUGUUUUUUUCUCUUUAUUUAAUAUUUAUUUGUUCUAAAUUUAUUUUGCAAAUUAUUGUCGAUUUGCAAAUAAAAAAUGUGUUCAUUGCGUAAUAAUGUUUUAAAAACAUUAUUAUUGAUAUAUAAUUAUGAAUAUUAUUUUUUUUUUUAUAGUAAAUGCCUAAAAUCUU
rnacentral:misc_RNA from 1 species